GAGACCGAGACUGUAAGGUUGUACGAAGGGAUGCGCUCCCGGUCCAGGGCGCUGGCCACCUUGAUGAGGCUCAGGUUGGGCACCUUGCUCCUCUGUACCUCAAAGUGGCGUUGCUCAUUGCCCCCGAGAAUCUGCACUGAAAUGUUUCCGUUGGCUGCUGGGGAGUCAGCGUCGGUCACGGUGAGCAGAGCCACCACGGUACCCACCUGCGCGUUCUCAUCCACCGAAGCGUAGCGCGAGGUGGCAGGGAAGUAGCGAAACUUCACUACCGGGUCGUUAUCAUUGACAUCCAGGAGCUGGAUAAGAGCUUCGGCGCGCCCAGUGAGCGAGGGCACGCCCCGGUCCGUGGCCUGAACUGUCAGAGAAUACUGUCGCCGGGCUUCGAAAUCUAGUGGCUCUCUCACGGUGAUGAGCCCCGUCUCUGGGUCCAUCUGAAAGGGGGUUCCCUCAUCCUGCAGCCGGUAACGGAUGUCCGCAUUGGUACCCUCAUCUGCGUCUGCCGCCACCACCUGCAGGACACUGGAACCCACAACUGCAUCUUCAGGCACCCCCGCCUGGUAAUGGGAACUGCCAAACACCGGGGGAUUGUCGUUAAUGUCCUGUACAGUCACGUUGACCUGAAGGUAACCCCGCCGCUUUGGCUCACCCUUGUCCUCCACCUCCACCAGGAGCUGGUACUGAGGUGUGACCUCGCGGUCCAGCCCGCCCUUGGACACCAAGUGCAGGAACGCUCCCUCUCCACUGGGGUUCAAGGUGAUGUCCAGGCGAAAGCGGCCCGCCUCGUUGCCACGAACGAUGCGGUAGGAGCGGUGGUCCACACCGUUGGAGCCGAUGUCAGAGUCGGUGGCGGUGUCCAGAAUGACCUGACGCCCGCUGCCACUGUCCUCCUUGAAGGUGACCACGAUCGAAGGGUCUGGGAAGACUGGGGCGUUGUCGUUGAGGUCACGCACCAGCACUCGCACCUCGGUGGGGUAUGUGGGAGAGCUGGAAAGGACCACCAGGUUGACCACAUCGCUGGGCAGGCUCUCGCGGUCGAUGGUAGCGGUGGUGUACAGAGCUCCUGUGCUGCUGUUAAUAGCGAACAGGGCGUGGCUUUCACUGAGCCGAUAGGUGAAGCCAGGACGAGUUGGGAUGGUGCCCACCAGAGUCCCUGGGGGCUGCUCUUCCAUCACCUGGAACACCUGGCGCUGUUCGGCGGCUUGGACUCGGGCCGGGCCAGGGAGCAGCGACAGCAUCCCCCAGACUCUCAGGAGCUGGCACAGAGAUAGAGAGGGUAGGGGGAGCCGCCUGCGGCUGGGAGCCCGGUUUGCGGCCAAGUUCAUGGUCCUAGUUUCCAGGAACCUGGAGAAGAAGAGAAACAAGGUGAAGAAAACAGGAUGGUCUGGAGGGCUUCUGGGUGGCGCCAGUAAAAGCCAGUUUGGCUGGAGACUUCUGCAGUUCAGAAGAGUGGGUAAGGGACAGGCACUCUGGAGAAGGCUCUAGGUAGCCGGUGAGACGCGCAGCGCAGAAGAGAGUGAGGCGACAGGCGGCGGAGCAUCCCUUGGCUUUCCGGUGAAAGUUUUCAGGCCUCCAGAUAGUUAGAUUGAAAUCCCAAGUCUGAGCGUCCUGGCCGCUGACCGGAGUUGCGAGGGGUGGCCUGGAUUUGGGGGAUCUGAGGAGUCACUUACUGCACGCACGUCUCUCCAAAAACUUUAGAACUUACCCGGAACGCGACGCCAAAAAGGGCAGGGCCAAGGGCCCCAGAGCCCCUGCACCCUGGAGACAGGAGCGGUUCGCCUGGAGACCCCGAAGCUAGCUGUGAAGACUCUUCGGUUCCGCUCCUGGGGAGCCGGGAAGGUCGUCUGUAGAUCGGGCUCCCUCCCCCUGCAGCGGAGGAAGCCAGGGCUCCCGGUCCCCACCGCGGCUCCCGCAGCUCUCAGCUCCGCGCCUCUGCGGGCAGCCCGGGCUGCCUUUGCUCCCGUUGCGGGUCGAAGCCCAGGCUGCCGCAGGCGCUGCUCCGCAUCCUUCACCUCCGCGCCGGCAUCAUUUGGGCAGUGUUCCAGCAAACUGCGGCCCACGGUACCCCGCAGAACCCCCAGCUCUUCCCGAUUCGUGAGCCUGCCCCCCUCUUCGCUGUCCCUCAGGUCCAGGGGACACCAAGGCCUCGGUGCCAGCCAAGCUCCAACUUCUCAAAGGAAGAUAGGGGCACGCUGGCACGCACAGCGUGGUUAGUCUCAUAGCUGGAAUCCUGUCCACUGAGCAGUCUGGAGGCUUCAGCUGAAACAAUGGCAGCUUCUGCGGGGACAGUUUCCUCUUACAAACCCAGUUUGGAAUUUUUGACCCCCUGUGGGGUUUUUCUCCCCUUGACAUUCUCUAGCCGAGGGAAAUCUAAUAACGUUUGGUUUCGAUUUUGGCCUAGAGGAAGAAUAACUAUAAGAAAAUAGAAAUAAAUGAAAUGAAGUUUAAAUUUAAUUUUUGUAAGUGUCACACAUCACCAACCGCACUCAGACUAAUCCCCUGCCUCGGCCUAUUUGUGUGGUGGUGCAUGAGGUUUCUUUAAAAGAAAAAAAAAGAAAACGUGACUAGGAAUCGGGUCAAUAAAUUUCCCCUUUAAGGGAAUCAACUUGCAAAAUAUGAACUGAAGCCAAAUAAUGCAAAUGUAGGGCAUAUGUCAUACAAUUUUGCCACAGGAAUCCCUCCAAACAUCAAACUUUCUGCGCCCAGAGAUGGUUCAAGCACGAGCCAACACUGCCCCCUGCUGUUUCCAGUCUGGCUGCUACAGUGGCUGCCUUAAAUUAAAUGCAGCUGGGAAGAUCUGGUUACAAGAGCUAAUUCCUCCUUCUUGCCAAGGGAUGGGGGCAAAGAAAAAGGAUCUGGAAGGAUCUCCUACUGCCUCUCCUUGUGUGAGGUCAGAAAACAAUCAAAAGCGAUAGAGAAGACAACACAUUCGAGUCCCAUGGAAGCAAACCUUCUGUAACCUAAACAGAGAAAGGAUAGAGCCUGAUUCUAAAAACAUCGCGAAUUCCUUUGUUUAGUUAGAACGUUCACUUCUCUGCCUCUUCCCCAGCUAUGGUGUGAUGAGUGAAGUGGACGUAGACCAGUGAGUUAGGCGUCUCUAUUGCUACAUUUUUCAGACUGCGAAACUAUUGAAUGCAUUUCAUUAACCAUCCCCCCUCUUUUAAAAAAGCAAAAAUAAACAAACAAAGCAAAGCAAAACAAACAAAAAACGCUUUUAAGCCCCUUCAAAAUUAUUUCAUCACUGCCAACCAAUCCUUAACGCCACCACCCCAAUGCCAUCAGUUUGUUGUAAUUCAGCCAAAAAAGAUUUGUGGAUUAAAGUUGGGUCAAAGUUACUACAAACCGCCCUUAUAAGGGUGCGAACACUGCAGAAGACUUUAUUUUUGUUUCUAAUCCUGCGUAGUUAGAUACUCGGACACAUAAGAAUGGGAAGAAAUCACUCCGAUACAUUGGGGAAAGAUGGUGGAUUUUUCUAGUCUGCCUGGUGUCUGUUUGGAGAGCAUGUGAACCGACUUCAUAGCUCAACAGAAUGGAAUUAACAUCUCUUGCCAGCGAAUUUAAUUUGAGAAAACAGAUUUCCUUUCUGACUCCAGUCUUGUAUGGCUGAAGAUUGUCGUCUUGACCGGAUCCGAUUCACCAGUGAGAUACACCUCUGAGCAUAUCUGUGAGGGAAUUUUAGGACCAGUUUACCUGAAAUGUGAAAACCCACUCGAAGUAUGGCGGACACCAUUCCGUGAGCUGGGCUUCUGGACUGAAGAGAAACAAGAACGUGAGCUGAAGAGUGCCCUCACUGCUAUCUGUUGUCUGGCCGCAGCUCCUCUUUUUCAUAACUGUGCUGGCUACUUUGACGUCAACCUGACACAAGUUGAAGUCAUCUGAGAAGAGGGAACCUCAACUGAGAAAAAUCCCUUCAUAAAAUAGGGCUGCAGGUUAGCCUGUAGGAUAUAUCCUUAAUCCUAAUCCAGGAUUGAUGGGGGAGGCCCAGGCCAUUGUGGGUGGUGCCAUCCCUGGAAUGAUGGUCCUGAGUUCUAUAAGAAAACAGACUGAGCAAGCCAGGGGAAGCAGGCUACUAAGCAGUACCCUUCCAUGGUCUCGGCACCAGCCAGCCCCUGCCUCCAGGUUCCUUACCAGUUUG